rnacentral:rRNA from 1 species
AGGACGAACGCUGGCGGCGUGCUUAACACAUGCAAGUCGAACGAUGAAGCCCUUCGGGGUGGAUUAGUGGCGAACGGGUGAGUAACACGUGGGCAACCUGCCCUCCACUCUGGGAUAACUCCGGGAAACCGGGGCUAAUACUGGAUAUGACCUGGGAUCGCAUGGUCCUGGGUGGAAAGUUUUUUCGGUGGAGGAUGGGCCCGCGGCCUAUCAGCUUGUUGGUGGGGUGAUGGCCUACCAAGGCGGUGACGGGUA